UCGUGGGUGUGGUGCAGUUCUACACCGGCGUGCCUGCCGUGCUCGUCGCCGUCCACGUCGCAGGUGCGGCAGCCUGCACCGCGGCC
rnacentral:tRNA from 1 species